CCCUACCCAAGAAAAACGGCGCAGGAGCUCUUCUUCAUUUUGUUCUUCAUUUCUCCAAGCUCAACAAUCAGACCCUUACCCCUUAACGGCGCUCCAUCACCGCUACCUCCUCCUCCAUAUCCAGACCCCUCAUCUCCCAUAAUCAAAAGCACAAAAACACCAGCCUUUCUUCUUCAUAGGGAACCUUAGGACCUAGGAAGCUAAGAGUUUACCCCAUUUCUUUUGACAAAGAGCAGCGAUGCUCAAAAGAAAAAGAAAAAUAUAAAAAAAUCAGCCUCUCUAACUCAUCCUCUCACUCUCAACGCGCCUAAAUACAGCUGUUGAAACUUAAGAAUUUCUAUAACUCAACUUCAAACUCCCCAGAAAGAAGCAAUCAAGUGUCGGAUUUGAAAUCACAUAGCCGAUUCAGCAGUUCAACCUUUCUUCUUCAUAAUCUAUUUGGUUUCCAAGGUUAUUAGAAGUUGUAGAUGAGCUGCUUGUUUAUCAAUUUGGACUGCGCUGGUUGCUGAGUUUCAAAUUUCUGUAUCUCGCCUUUAUCCAGUCCUUUAAGCUGGUUCUCGCAUAACCAGGCAAGGGUUCAUGUUGGAAUGAGUUACACGUGAAGCUGGAAUUAGAGCUACUGUAAAUUGGUUGUAGCGUAGCUAUAGAUCGUGUUCAGUAUUAUAAUAUGAUAUGGUCACAAAACUAAGAAAAUCACUAACUUUGUAGUUUAAUUCAGAACUGAUAUCAAUUUCAUUUUCUCAUAGUUGUAUGUUUAGGUUGAAUAUGAUUUAGCUAAUCUCAAAUUGUGAUGGUCAGCUUUA